rnacentral:rRNA from 1 species
UACGUAGGGACCGAGCGUUGUCCGGAUUCAUUGGGCGUAAAGAGCUCGUAGGCGGCUGUUCAAGUCGAACGUGAAAACUCGGAGCUCAACUCCGAGCCUGCGUUCGAGACUGGAUGGCUAGAGUCUGGUAGGGGGAUCUGGAAUUCCUGGUGUAGCGGUGAAAUGCGCAGAUAUCAGGAGGAACACCGGUGGCGAAGGCGGGUCUCUGGGCCGAUACUGACGCUGAGGAGCGAAAGCGUGGGGAGCAAACAGG